rnacentral:rRNA from 1 species
CCUACGGGAGGCAGCAGUGAGGAAUAUUGGUCAAUGGUCGGGAGACUGAACCAGCCAAGCCGCGUGAGGGAUGACGGUACAGAGUAUCGUAAACCUCUUUUGUCAGGGAACAAAGGCGGGGACGUGUCCCCGGAUGAGUGUACCUGAAGAAAAAGCAUCGGCUAACUCCGUGCCAGCAGCCGCGGUAAUACGGAGGAUGCGAGCGUUAUCCGGAUUUAUUGGGUUUAAAGGGUGCGCAGGCGGUCUGUUAAGUCAGCGGUCAAAGCCCGGGGCUCAACCCCGGCCCGCCGUUGAAACUGGCAGUCGCGAGUUGGAGAGAAGUAUGCGGAAGGCGCGGUGUAGCGGUGAAAUGCAUAGAUAUCGCGCAGAACUCCGAUUGCGAAGGCAGCAUGCCGGCUCCACACUGACGCUGAGGCACGAAAGCGUGGGUAUCGAACAGGAUUAGAUACCCUUGUAGUC